UCCGCCAAACCCGUCCUGU
rnacentral:siRNA from 1 species